rnacentral:rRNA from 1 species
AAGUAACUACAGGAAACGUAGAGGCUAAUACCGCAUAAUGCAGCGGCUCGACAUCGAGACAGUUGUUAAAGCGGGGGAUCGCAAGACCUCGCGCCUGAAGAGAAGCCUGCGGCAGAUUAGCUAGUUGGUAAGGUAAUGGCCUACCAAGGCGACGAUCUGUAGCCGGCCUGAGAGGGCGGUCGGCCACACUGACACUGACAUACGGGUCAG